rnacentral:rRNA from 1 species
GACGAACGCUGGCGGCGUGCUUAACACAUGCAAGUCGAACGGAAAGGCCUGCUUUCCCUUGUGGAUUGCGAGUACUCGAGUGGCGAACGGGUGAGUAACACGUGAGUGAUCUGCCCCCAACUUGGGUAUAAGCCUGGGAAACUGGGUCUAAUUCCCGAUAGGACUGCAGGGUGGUGCCUGUGGUGGAAAACGAUUUUCUAGUGGUUGGGGAUGAGCUCGCGGCCUAUCAGCUUGUUGGUGGGGUACUGGCCUACCAAGGCGGCGACGGGAAGCCGGCCUGGGAGGGUGGACGGCAACAUUGGGACUGGGAUACGGCCCAGACGCCUACGGGAGGCAGCAGUGGGGAAUAUUGCACAAGGGGCGGAAGCCUGAUGCAGCGACGCCGGGUGGGGGAUGACGGCCUUCGGGUUGUAAACUCCUUUCGACCGCGAGGAAGCCACCUGGUUGGAAGGGUGGUGACGGUAGUGGUAGAAGAAGCACCGGCUAACUACGUG